AAAUUGAAGAGUUUGAUCAUGGCUCAGAUUGAACGCUGGCGGCAGGCCUAACACAUGCAAGUCGAACGGUAACAGGAAGCAGCUUGCUGCUUUGCUGACGAGUGGCGGACGGGUGAGUAAUGUCUGGGAAACUGCCUGAUGGAGGGGGAUAACUACUGGAAACGGUAGCUAAUACCGCAUAACGUCGCAAGACCAAAGAGGGGGACCUUCGGGCCUCUUGCCAUCGGAUGUGCCCAGAUGGGAUUAGCUAGUAGGUGGGGUAACGGCUCACCUAGGCGACGAUCCCUAGCUGGUCUGAGAGGAUGACCAGCCACACUGGAACUGAGACACGGUCCAGACUCCUACGGGAGGCAGCAGUGGGGAAUAUUGCACAAUGGGCGCAAGCCUGAUGCAGCCAUGCCGCGUGUAUGAAGAAGGCCUUCGGGUUGUAAAGUACU
rnacentral:rRNA from 1 species